rnacentral:rRNA from 1 species
GGCGGCAGGCCUAACACAUGCAAGUCGAACGGAUCCUUCGGGAUUAGUGGCGGACGGGUGAGUAACACGUGGGAACGUGCCUUUUGGUUCGGAACAACUCAGGGAAACUUGUGCUAAUACCGAAUGUGCCCUUCGGGGGAAAGAUUUAUCGCCAUUAGAGCGGCCCGCGUCUGAUUAGCUAGUUGGUAGGGUAAAGGCCUACCAAGGCUACGAUCAGUAGCUGGUCUGAGAGGAUGAUCAGCCACAUUGGGACUGAGACACGGCCCAAACUCCUACGGGAGGCAGCAGUGGGGAAUCUUGCGCAAUGGGCGAAAGCCUGACGCAGCCAUGCCGCGUGAAUGAUGAAGGUCUUAGGAUUGUAAAAUUCUUUCACCGGGGAAGGGAAUGACUGUACCCGGAGAAGAAGCUCCGGCUAACUUCGUGCCAGCAGCCGCGGUAAUACGAAGGGGGCUAGCGUUGCUCGGAAUUACUGGGCGUAAAGGGAGCGUA